UGUGACAGCUGUCCCGACUGUCACACGCAGACACUAUUGUUUCCUCUGGACCUGUUCAUGAAAAUCAUACAGAUGAGCUCCAGCUGAUCGGUGUCCAUAUAUGGGUGUCAAACUUCCUCAGCGGGCCAUUCCAUUUGUUCACCAGGGGAGGGGGAAAUUUGGUCUUUAGUUUAAUUUUACCAUUUAUUUAAUGUUUCUUCUUUUGGAAAGUUAGUUAAAUUCUGAUAUUUAUUUAAUUUAUAGAUUUAGUAAUAUUCUGACCAAUAUUUGUUAGGUUUUUGUGUGUUUAAUUACCCCCUAGUGUGUGUUAAUGGUCUGACCAGCCACUAUUUAAGUUCCCCUCAUGUCUUGUUUGUUAGGUCAGUUUGUGCUUGAGUUUGUUCUGUUACCACCUGAGUUGUACUUUGUUAUGUUGACCUCAGUUUGGGCCCAAUUUAUCAUUUUUGGAUUUUUUUGUUAAUAAAUUAAGAUUAUAUUUUGAAUUUUC